GGCAGGGGGAGAAUACGGCAGUCACCACACAAGCAAAAUGGCUUCGACGGUCGUGUUGUCAGCGCUUCUAUGUGUGUUUGCUGUAGGACUCAAUGCAGCACCCCCAGGAGGACCCAAGCUCCCUUCAGAGGACUGGAUGGAAGUAGCAGGAAUCUAUGGAGAUAACAUCGACGGAGAUAUCGUGGAGAC